CUUCCCCGGCACCGAGGUCAGGCUAACAGGUCUGUAGUUCCCCGGAUCCUCCCUGCAGCCCUUCUUGUAGAUGGGAGUCACAUUGGCAAGCCUCCAGUCUUCUGGGACCUCACCCGUCAACAAGGAGCGCUGAUAGAUGAUGAAGGAGCUCUGUGUCCUUGCAGUGGCAGGGCUGUAAGCAGGUAUCACGGUGGAGCUGUCACAGCAUGGGCAAGUACAGGUCAGAUAUGGAACAAUCAGAAUGACAACUAUUUAUCUGAAUUAGUCAUGAAAAACAAGUUGUUUUCCAGCUAGCUCUGCAAAACAAAUUUCUGCUUUGCUUGAGUCUGGCAAUGGUUUUACCUGAACUGGCUUACCCUCUAAAUGCUACGCCUCAUAUUCUCAGUAUAUUAUACUUCAUGCUACCCUGCAAGUGGUGAAGGGAGGUAUGGGUGCUCGGACAGAGAGUGGGUUAUCAGAGCCAUUGCCUGGUGGUUUUGUGUCCCUGAUGGCUGUUUCCCAUAGAAGUCGGUGAUAAGAUUCUCCAGGAGUGUUAAAUGAACUCCUUAGAUAUCAGCAUGGAUAUGAGUAACCUGUGAAGCAAGCUGGCUGUACUGUGUGGAACAGAGCUGGAGCAUUGCAGCCUUGCAUUUUUCAGACUAAACAACAAUACAAAUAUAUAGCUGCUUGCAACAACGCGUGGUUCAUCACAGACUGUAUGCCAGGAUUAUUAGCCCUUUGGCCAGAAGAGUGUAAGAGGAAACAGAAGCAGCCAAACUCCUUCAUUACUUGGAGAGUUCCCCAGCCUUUUUCUUCAGCUUAUGUAUUUUAAUUAGAAUGUUGUAUGGUUUCUCCACAAUGUAAGAUAAGUUGGCCCUUGAUUAUCCAAGUAAAUUAGUUAAUGAUGCUUGCUCAUUGCAAUUAAACUUUCCCAUU
ensembl:lncRNA